rnacentral:lncRNA from 1 species
CCAAUUAUAACACUUCUCUCUCCCUUAUCUCUUUUGUACGUAUUAUGCAGCCGGUAUUUCAUCUUCUCCUUCUUCCUGGCCCUUUGUGGCGCCAACGCACGGAGGCGAUAAUCAACGUAGCAAAAGGCGGCGACGUGGAGGUUCGGAGCGAAAGCCAGCUCGGAAGAGGUUAGUGUGAAUCUCACCAUCUACUUUUAGGUUUUUUUCCGAAUCUUUGUUUGGAUUUUUUGAAUCUGCAAAUUGAUUUUGUGGAAAAGAAAGUACUUUCUAAAUCUGUUAAUUUCUUAUUUCGCACAGUACGUACAAAACUUGUUGAUUACUUUUUUUUCCGUGAAUCUGUGAAUUGCGUCUUUUGCACAGAGCAUACAUAACUUGUGAUUUCAUGUAGGAAAAUAUAAGAACUUUCUGAAUCUGUGAAAAUAAGAUUCAUAAUAACUCUAUUGAAAGAACAUUCUAUUCAUUGGGGCAUUUUUAAUAUUCAACAAUUGAGAACUUAGAUGCAACUCAUUAGGUUCAUAAACUCAUAUACAAUUCAUCAUAAACUCAGGAACAACUCAUCCAUCCUCAUAAGCUUUAAGGCAUUCUCCUGUGUUCCAAUCUGUCAACCCUAUCUCGUAAUGCAUCUACUUCAUUGCGAGGUUGUGGAAGUCCAUGAAAAUAUUAUUCUCAAAAUUUACCGACUGCACAUAAUUUGGACUUCGUAAUGGAGCACUUUGUGUUGGUGCCAAUGAUGCUUAAAGCUCCAAAUUCUCAACACGCAGAUCAUGAAUUUGGUUCCUCAUACUCUCCAUCAUAUUCGCCAUAUUUAACUUCUCGUUUACAAUAGCAACUUUCACGUGAAACCAUUCAAAGUAACCACAACCGGUGCCAUCCUAUAGCAUGUAUGGAUUUCACGAGUGUUAGUUACUACAAGAAGGAGGCCCUAAAAUGGUAGGUAUGAACAAUGUGUUCACCUUUAAAUCGUAGUUUGCACAACCAAAAAUCUUUCAAUUCGGGUUUUGCGCUGAGUGUGAGAUACGACGGGAAGACUAUACCCCACAAUUUCACAAAACAUGAGCAUCCUCGUAACCAAACUCAUCACAUGAUUUCAUUGAUUGUUUCAUUAUGGAAAUGAUGUUCUCAACUGUUGCAUAAACGUUUAAGUAAAAUCAAAUCCAAAUACAGAGAAUCUAAUCGAUGUCAUCAAACUAAUGAAUCCAUAUAAACAAGCUACUCGAUUUGGGCAAGCAAACUACUCCAUCUAAACAAGCUAAUGGAUUUUAACAAACAAACUAAUCAAUACAACAAGCUAAUGAAUUUUAUCAAAAAACUGUAAUCAUCAAACAAGACAAUAAAAAACAAGACAGUUAAGCUUUCCCAUAGAGGAAACCUCUAUCCACAAUACCUUCAUGAUUCCAACGUCUUGGAUCAAACAUCCCCUUCUGAUUUUGGAGUUUAAGGUGAGUUAGCAGUUUCAGAAGAUCAAUUGAUUGUUUGCGGGAAAAAAAGAAAAUGGCAUUGGGGGAGGACAGGUGCGUGGAUAAGAAAAGGAGGAGAAUAGAAAUGGUGGUAUUUCAAUAUUUUCAGUUCAUGGAAAGUUAUAGGUCAAAUCCGGUAUGUUAAAUUGGGUUUAUCAUAUGGAAAAAUGGCCUUUUCUACAGUUAAUUGGACUCUCACAGUUAUUUGGACUCCGAUGAAAAAUAAUUUCCCCCCAUAAAUAAACUCAAUUAAUAGGAAACCGCAGUCAUAUACUUCAAUUGAAUUAAUCAAUUCCUUAAAAAAAUGGAUGGCACUUAACUGAUAAUCCAAAUAUUUGCAAACACAAAACAAAAGUGACUGGAAGGUGCAAUAGUAAUUUUAACGUGUCCAUAUAUUAAUUUGGCAGUCCAAAAUACCAAAAACGAAAACUAUAAAAGUUCAAUAUCCGGGAAGUUAUAGAAAAUAAUACAUGUGACAAAAAAGAAGUUUGAUAAAAGUAGGAGGAGAAUAGAAAUGGUGGUAUUUCAAUAUUUUCAGUUCAUGGAAAGUUAUAGGUCAAAUCCGGUAUGUUAAAUUGGGUUUAUCAUAUGGAAAAAUGGCCUUUUCUACAGUUAAUUGGACUCUCACAGUUAUUUGGACUCCGAUGAAAAAUAAUUUCCCCCCAUAAAUAAACUCAAUUAAUAGGAAACCGCAGUCAUAUACUUCAAUUGAAUUAAUCAAUUCCUUAAAAAAAUGGAUGGCACUUAACUGAUAAUCCAAAUAUUUGCAAACACAAAACAAAAGUGACUGGAAGGUGCAAUAGUAAUUUUAACGUGUCCAUAUAUUAAUUUGGCAGUCCAAAAUACCAAAAACGAAAAAUACAAAAGUUCAGUUCACGGAAAGUUAUAGUAAAUAAUACAUGUGACCAAAAGAGAAAUUUGAUAAAAGUUUUUUUUUAAAACGGAAAUUAAAAAACGGUAGAGAUUAAAAUCCACCAAUGGGCGGCCCAGAUUAAAUUCUCUAAAUGAGAGUAUCGGUAUUCCGAGAAUACUGAAGAGUUUUUCUUGAAAUAAUAAGUUUGAGUUUGUGUGUUUUGAGAUAAAGGCUAGUAAUCUAUACUCAUUUGAUUCGUUUAAGUGCGUGUUGAUUCAUACUUGGAGGAUCAUUGGUUCGUUUGAGUGUGUGUCGAUUUGUACUUGGAGGUCUAUUAGUCAUAUAAGCGAGAUAGUCACUCUCUAUCAUGGCCGACAUCUAUCUUGCUUCUUUCUAUUAUCGAAGAUUUCGAGUUCAAUUGUUUCGUGCCAAUAUUGUUCUUGGGUUUCAUCGUAAUUGUUGGUAUGGUUAACAACUUAACAUAACCUCUGUCACGUGAUUAUGUACUGCAUUUCCUCGACCUCCAUCCAGGUGCUUUGGAAUGGUUCUUGCUCAGAAAACUUCAAACCUAUUGAUGACGUUUGAUUUAUCAUGUUCAUCGCUCUCAUUUAAGCAACAUUGCAUGCAUUAUUGUAUAACUUUGGGUAUAACUUUAAGGUGUUUCUUGCAUUUUAAACUUCUAUCUCGAUUUAAUGUCUCAACCCCGCUUGGGGUCCAUUUGAUGUCGGUUUUGAGUGUUUUCUAUAAUUUUUAGGUACAAGACGACAUCAAGGCAUUAAGUUGAGUGAUUCAACGUCCUUGGAUGAGAUAGGAUGAAUCGGAGGAUAAAAAAAUACAAAGUGUUAAAAAUGUGCAAAAGUGCGCUAUUAGUCUUCUAAGGUGCAAAAGUGCGCUAUUACUCAACCUACGGCUCACAUUAGAACAACAGGAGACAAUCCCCAGACCACUAAACAUGUAAUUGUAGCCAUAAGAUCUACAAUUGUGUGGUGCUCAUUAACACAUCCUUAGGCGCGCUUUAGCACAUCCGUCAAUGAUUUCGUUUUGUCUCCUUUUUAGACCAACCCUCCUUCAAUCAGAACGAGACAACCUGUAAACGAAAUUGAGAGUAUUUUUCAGAGACUUUCAAGCAACAAGAAAAUGAUGACUUCAAUGAGCUCAGAUCGUUCAUAGCAUAAUCAAGAUUGGAAGAUCUCAGUUUUAGAGUUCUUCACCGAAAUUAGGUUUUCAGAAUUCUUUUUGUAAACCUAGUUUCAAUCGUUUUCUUAUAUGAAUGAAGCGACAUGAAGAUCAACCAUUGGGACAAAAUCCUGAAGGUUUCAAAAGGAUGAGCAAAUCCAAGAAAAAAAUGAUGGUUUUCAUACCUAGACCGACCACUCACGUAAAUGAGAGGGAAAUCCUAAGUUUCAAGUCAAAUAGAAGCCUCGAAGAAAGGAUCACUACAAAAAAUGGCACAUUUAACAGCAGCUAAAACACAGUUUCAUAGCGGAUUAAGCCGCCGUCAAAUUAUAUUAUAGUGGACGUAGUACCGCUGUUAAAUUCUGAGUCCUCUAGUCUAGCAAAGACGUGCUAAGAAAAAGACGAAAACACAAACAAGCAAUUAAGUCGAAAAUAUUGUCUAUUAUCCUGGGGGUUAUGAGGAUCAUCUAGUAGCCCGACUGCAGGUUAGUGGUCUAAAUUUCAGUUAGAAUAAAAUCCUUAUUGAGGAGUGGUUUAUGAAGUUUGGUUUUGUACGAGGCUCAAUUUGAAAAGGUGUCACACCCAAUUUCAGGUAAACUGUUGGUUUGCAAGUUAUUGUUGAAUCGGCUGAGUUUUGGUCUGAUAAAUUGACCAUCACGGGCGUGACCACUAGUAAGUCACAUGCAUGGUUGCCAUAUGGACCACGGUCUUGGUCAAAAGUCGAUCAUGGGUGUGACCAUCAGUAGGCCACAUGCGUGAUGAUCAGGCAGCCACGAGUGUGGUGAUAGAACAGCCACAUGCGUGGUGGGCUUAUUAUAUAAGUCAGAAUCGUGACCUCAAGCUAAAAAAACAUAGAAACAAAUAAUACCUUCUGGCGGCGAGUUCUUCUAUCGGGAGAAGACAGAACGGAUUAGUCCUGAAUAAGGGUUGACAUAUUAGAGAGGCUAGGGGAUUCAUGAGUAGGUAAUUAAUACUUCUUCUUUCUAUAUUAAUUCCAUAGAUUGAAACUCACCUAGGAAAACCUGAUAGUCCGGGUUUUUCGGAGAUUCAAUCUUGGCUUGAUCUCUUCAGGUCUACAAAAUAGGAGGUUGAACUUCAGGGAGGCUGCACUGCAUAUCAGUCUCUACUAGAAAAGCGUAUCUUGGGUGGGGGUCUAGGAUUAUUUCCUGCUUUAAAGCGUAGAACUGAAUGUAGGAUGUCAAGACCCCAAAUAUUGGAUUUCAUGAUUACCGAGCAGGGCAAUGGGGCCGUGGAGAGCUCGUGUUCUACUGUAUAGACAUUGGUGCGAUGAUUAUGGAGCAUGGAUUUUGGGGCCGUACAAUAGCUCAUGUUCUACUGUACAAGCAUUGAUGUUAUGAUUACAAAGUCGGGCUCUGGGACCGUAGAGUAGCUCGUGUUCUACUAUACUAGCGUUAAAUUUCGAGCAUAACCUCAUGAAGUUUGAACUGUGAUUCAUAGUUCAUGUGUGGGACAUGAUUCAGAUUUAGCUAGAUUAGCUCCUGAUGUGCGUUGGUCACCCACCCACGGGUUGCGUAAUCCCCCAGGAUGUUUCUACGCCUACAGUAUGACGUGUCGAGUAUCCCUACAGAUUCUGCUCACACGAUCUCUAAGGCUACGGGAUGGUUUUUGUGGUCUGAUCCAUUGUUAGGCUGUCAACUUUUAGCUAGGGGUGACUAAUGAUAGGAUGAUGCCUGCAGGACCACAGGGUCACAUUAUUAGUCGAGGUUUAGCUAGAUUUUCUUCACAAUUUUUCUUAGUAUAGUCUCAGUUCUACACGACUCUAGUUUUGCCAUCCAAUGCUUAUCACUAACCCCAUUAGAUUUUGUUUUCCUUGGUGUAUCUGUGUGUUCAGUCACAAGUACUAGAGCUGAUGGUGGAGAGAGAGCUGGUCGGAGUUUUGAUAUCACAUGAUAUAUGUUUAACAUAUUUUCAGGACUGGAGUUAUUCUGUUUCUUUUUUACUUGUUUAGUUGGUUAGUUUAUUUAUGUAUUUUAUUUCAAUUUUAAUGCUUGUUUACCGCAUUUAUUAGAAGUUGAGUAAUGAGUUUGGUUUAUGUUCAAACUCGAGUAGCACUCUUUGGUUGAACCAGUGGUUUGACCGGGACUCCUUGGGUGAGGUUUCACAAAAGGACUAGUGAAGGUUGAUUUAAUAGUUAACUUGACUAUUAAAUCUAACUUGGGGUUGAGCUUUUGUUGAGUGGUUUUCAGAUUUUGGGAAAAAACCUUUUGAAGGAGGGUAGAGUUGCGAUAUCCCUUUUUUGGUUACCCGUUUAACUCGUGUUCGAUUCGAAAGUUAUCAAGAAGGUCAUGUUGUUUCGUCAUGGUCAUGUUGUUUUCAAUAUAUAAAGCUUGUUAGGAUUUUUAGUCGACAUAAUAAUUAGAAGUCUUAAUUGGUUUUCUCUGUUAUGUUGAUGAACACAAUUUCGAAGAAGGGCGAUCCAAGUUUGAAGGUGCAAAUGAGCUCCGAUCAUGUCAUGAUUCUAGAUGGUCGACAAGGAAGAUGUCGGGAUCGUGUCCCCUAGAUUGAUAAGAGGUAAAUGUGGUUUCAGUUUUAGAGAGAUUUGGUUUUGGAAUUAAGUUUUGGGGUUUUCUCCAUGUGUUCAUCUUUUGUGAUCGUUGUUGGCAUGGAAAUCGAUGGUGCCUCCGGGAGUUGGGAACUAGCACGUCGUGGGGUCGUGGUCGAGAGAGGUGGAUCGUUUCCAAGAAACUUGGAGAUCGUCGGAGAAGAUUGCCUUUUCACGGGUCAGGAAAGUUCAGUGACCAAAUCUACAAAGUCCAUAAAGUUAAUUCACAUAUUUGUAGUUUAUGUAAAGUUCAGGGGCUGGAAUGUAAUUCCAAGAAAGUUUGAUGACUGGUCUGCAAUCAAUGUUAUGUCCAGGGACUGGUUCAUAAAUUUUUCCAGAUGGGCAGUAAAAGGUCGAUUCUGCCCCUACAAGUUUCAGCUUGUUGCAAAGGAGUCAUUGGAGCAUAACUCGAUCGUUUGAGCUCCAAACGACACAGGGUUAUAAGCUGUGGAUUUGUGGCAACGAUGGCAGUCACAUCAAUUCAAAAUCAGAGGUGUCAUAUCGUCUUAGAAGUCGGGGUUUAUGUUUUAUUACUAGAUAGUCCUGUGUAGAACUGUAAUUAAAUGUUGGGGAAUCCCAUCAAUGGAUUUCCCUUGUGAUGGUUGAUGGUGUGGAACGAGGGCUCCCGAGACUUUACGAUAGUGUGUGAUCUACUAUCCAAAAGCUUGUGAUUCACUAUUGAGAACAAGAUAAAAUAGGCCUAGCUAGACUAAAUCCCGAUGUUGUGUAUGCGUUGGUCGCUCACCCCCAUAUUGCGCAAUCUCUUAAGGAUGUGUCGAGUGUGCCUAAAAAUGCUGCUCACUCGAUUCAGGGUGGUUUCAUGAU